GUACACUCCUGCGGGAGGCAGCAGUGGGGAAUAUUGGACAAUGGGCGCAAGCCUGAUCCAGCCAUGCCGCGUGAGUGAUGAAGGCCCUAGGGUUGUAAAGCUCUUUCACCGGAGAAGAUAAUGACGGUAUCCGGAGAAGAAGCCCCGGCUAACUUCGUGCCAGCAGCCGCGGUAAUACGAAGGGGGCUAGCGUUGUUCGGAAUUACUGGGCGUAAAGCGCACGUAGGCGGAUCGAUCAGUCAGGGGUGAAAUCCCAGGGCUCAACCCUGGAACUGCCUUUGAUACUGUCGAUCUGGAGUAUGGAAGAGGUGAGUGGAAUUCCGAGUGUAGAGGUGAAAUUCGUAGAUAUUCGGAGGAACACCAGUGGCGAAGGCGGCUCACUGGUCCAUUACUGACGCUGAGGUGCGAAAGCGUGGGGAGCAAACAGGAUUAGAAACCCGGCUAGUCCCAUGAU
rnacentral:rRNA from 1 species